GGGGUAAUGGUGUAACUUGGUAGCACUCGACGUUUGGGGCGUCGGAAUCGGGGUUCAAAUCCUCGUUACCCCA
rnacentral:tRNA from 1 species